GCUGGAGUGGCGGAACUGGCAGACGCAGCAGACUCAAAAUCUGCCGAGGCUUGUCCUCUUGGGGGUUCGAUUCCCCCCUCCAGCACCA
rnacentral:tRNA from 1 species